rnacentral:rRNA from 1 species
UACGUAGGUGGCAAGCGUUGUCCGGAUUUACUGGGUGUAAAGGGCGUGCAGCCGGAGAGACAAGUCAGAUGUGAAAUCCACGGGCUCAACUCGUGAACUGCAUUUGAAACUGUUUCCCUUGAGCGUCGGAGAGGUAAUCGGAAUUCCUUGUGUAGCGGUGAAAUGCGUAGAUAUAAGGAAGAACACCAGUGGCGAAGGCGGAUUACUGGACGAUAACUGACGGUGAGGCGCGAAAGCGUGGGGAGCAAACAGG